GACGAACGCUGGCGGCGUGCUUAACACAUGCAAGUCGAACGGUAAGGCUCCAGCUUGCUGGGGUACACGAGUGGCGAACGGGUGAGUAACACGUGGGUGACCUGCCCUGCACUUCGGGAUAAGCCUGGGAAACUGGGUCUAAUACCGGAUAGGACCGCACCGUGAGGGUGUGGUGGAAAGUUUUUUCGGUGUGGGAUGGGCCCGCGGCCUAUCAGCUUGUUGGUGGGGUAAUGGCCUACCAAGGCGGCGACGGGUAGCCGGCCUGAGAGGGUGGACGGCCACAUUGGGACUGAGACACGGCCCAGACUCCUACGGGAGGCAGCAGUGGGGAAUAUUGCACAAUGGGCGGAAGCCUGAUGCAGCGACGCCGCGUGGGGGAUGACGGCCUUCGGGUUGUAAACUCCUUUCACCAUCGACGAAGGGUUUCUGACGGUAGAUGGAGAAGAAGCACCGGCUAACUACGUGCCAGCAGCCGCGGUAAUACGUAGGGUGCGAGCGUUGUCCGGAAUUACUGGGCGUAAAGAGCUCGUAGGUGGUUUGUCGCGUCGUCUGUGAAAUUCCGGGGCUUAACUCCGGGCGUGCAGGCGAUACGGGCAUAACUUGAGUACUGUAGGGGAGACUGGAAUUCCUGGUGUAGCGGUGAAAUGCGCAGGUAUCAGGAGGAACACCGGUGGCGAAGGCGGGUCUCUGGGCAGUAACUGACGCUGAGGAGCGAAAGCAUGGGGAGCGAACAGGAUUAGAUACCCUGGUAGUCCAUGCCGUAAACGGUGGGCGCUAGGUGUGGGUUUCCUUCCACGGGAUCCGUGCCGUAGCUAACGCAUUAAGCGCCCCGCCUGGGGAGUACGGCCGCAAGGCUAAAACUCAAAGGAAUUGACGGGGGCCCGCACAAGCGGCGGAGCAUGUGGAUUAAUUCGAUGCAACGCGAAGAACCUUACCUGGGCUUGACAUAUACAGGAUCGCGCCAGAGAUGGUGUUUCCCUUGUGGCUUGUAUACAGGUGGUGCAUGGUUGUCGUCAGCUCGUGUCGUGAGAUGUUGGGUUAAGUCCCGCAACGAGCGCAACCCUUGUCUUAUGUUGCCAGCACGUUGUGGUGGGGACUCGUAAGAAACUGCCGGGGUUAACUCGGAGGAAGGUGGGGAUGACGUCAAAUCAUCAUGCCCCUUAUGUCCAGGGCUUCACACAUGCUACAAUGGUCGGUACAGUGGGUUGCCAGUCCGCGAGGUCAAGCAAAUCCCAUAAAGUUGUUCUCAGUUCGGAUUGUAGUCUGCAACUCGACUACAUGAAGCUGGAAUCGCUAGUAAUCGUAGAUCAGCAUGCUACGGUGAAUACGUUCCCGGGUCU
rnacentral:rRNA from 1 species